GGUGAGCGGAUGUACAGAUGUGCAAGACC
rnacentral:piRNA from 1 species